rnacentral:rRNA from 1 species
UACGGGGGGGAGCAAGCGUUGUUCGGAUUUACUGGGCGUAAAGGGCGCGUAGGCGGUCGUUCAAGUCGAGUGUGAAAGCCCCCGGCUCAACUGGGGAGGGUCACUCGAUACUGAUCGACUCGAAGGCAGAAGAGGGAAGCGGAAUUCCCGGUGUAGUGGUGAAAUGCGUAGAUAUCAGGAGGAACACCGAUGGCGAAGGCAGCUCGCUGGGACGGUACUGACGCUGAGACGCGAAAGCGUGGGGAGCAAACAGG